UAGAGAUGUGUGAUGACGCAUAUCAAUAAGCGGAGGAAAAGAAACUAACAAGGAUUCCCUUAGUAACGGCGAGUGAAGCGGGAAGAGCUCAAAUUUGAAAUCUUCAAGGUUCUACCUUGACGAAUUGUAGUUUAUAAGAAGUGUUUUCUGUUAGGAGUUUGGCUAAAAGUUCUUUGGAAUAGGACAUCAUAGAGGGUGAGAAUCCCGUAUUUGGUACCAUUACUUUCUAGCUGUGUGAUACACUUUCAACGAGUCGGAUUGUUCGGGAAUGCAGUCCAAAAUGGGUGGUAAAUUUCAUCUAAAGCUAAAUAUUGGCGAGAGACCGAUAGCGAACAAGUACCGUGAGGGAAAGAUGAAAAGAACUUUGAAAAGAGAGUUAAACAGUACGUGAAAUUGUCAAAAGGGAAGCGUUUGACACCAGUGUUGUUUUUCCGAAAAUCAAUUACGAAUGUUUUGUUUUUAAGAAGUUAUGACUUCAUCGGCUUGCUUCUCUCUUUACGAAACUUUCUUAAUGCACUUUUCGGUUAACAAGUCAACAUCAAUUUCUUUUGUUGUAAAAGGGUAUGAGGAAGGUGGCUUUCUUUUCGGAGAAAGUGUUUAUAGCCUUGUACCUCUGCAAUCGGAGAGAUUGAGGUCUGCAGCGUAGAUCCUUCGGGGUUAGAUACAUUUGUGCUAAGUUAUAGCUUUUCAUAGACAACUUGUUGACUAUGUUAAGUCUUGUAGCUUACUCGCUUAUGCUAUUUUACCUACGCUUAGGAUGUUGAAGUCAUCGUAUCGCGC
rnacentral:rRNA from 1 species